rnacentral:rRNA from 1 species
UUUUUGUAAAUAAUUUAAAGUCUAGUCUGCCCACUGAAAAAUUUAAAGGGCUGCAGUAUUUUGACUGUACAAAGGUAGCAUAAUCAUUUGUCUCUUAAUUGGUGACUUGUAUGAAAGAUUGGAUGAAAUAUAUACUGUCUCAUUAUAAUUAAUAAAAUUUAAUUUUUUAGUUAAAAAGCUAAGAUGAUUUUAAAAGACGAGAAGACCCUAUAGAGUUUGAUAAUUGUUAUUAUAUUAGGAUAAUAUAAAAUUUUAAAUUAAAAUAAUGAUAAUUAUUUUGUUGGGGUGACAAAAAAAUAAAAUAAACUUUUUUUAAAUAAUUUACAUAUAUAAAUGAAUAAAUGAUCCAUUUUUAGUGAUUAAAAGAAAAAAUUACCUUAGGGAUAACAGCGUAAUUUUUUUUUUUAGGCCUAAUAAGAAAAAGAGUUUGCGACCUCGAUGUUGGAUUAAGAUAAAAUUUAAAUGCAAAAGUUUAAAAUUUUGAUCUGUUCGAUCAUUAAAA